GAAAUCGCUGGGUCGCCUGCGAUUUU
ncrna:unclassified sequences L25-Gammaproteobacteria ribosomal protein leader